GGUUCCUUAACUUAAUUGGUAAAGUAUGCUUUUGAUAAGGGUAUGUUCAGCGUUCGAUUCGCUGAGGAAUCA
rnacentral:tRNA from 1 species